GACGAACGCUGGCGGCGUGCUUAACACAUGCAAGUCGAACGGAAAGGCCCUGCUUUUGUGGGGUGCUCGAGUGGCGAACGGGUGAGUAACACGUGAGUAACCUGCCCUUGACUUUGGGAUAACUUCAGGAAACUGGGGCUAAUACCGGAUAGGAGCUCCUGCUGCAUGGUGGGGGUUGGAAAGUUUCGGCGGUUGGGGAUGGACUCGCGGCUUAUCAGCUUGUUGGUGGGGUAGUGGCUUACCAAGGCUUUGACGGGUAGCCGGCCUGAGAGGGUGACCGGCCACAUUGGGACUGAGAUAGGGCCCAGACUCCUACGGGAGGCAGCAGUGGGGAAUAUUGCACAAUGGGCGGAAGCCUGAUGCAGCAACGCCGCGUGCGGGAUGACGGCCUUCGGGUUAUAAACCGCUUUCGCCUGUGACGAAGCGUGAGUGACGGUAAUGGGUAAAGAAGCACCGGCUAACUACGUG
rnacentral:rRNA from 1 species